CACGCCAUUGGUCAAACUGCUUCUCAAUCAUUGGCCUCGGCCCAACGGCAUCAGCCAAGAGACAAAGCAGCAGCCUGUUAACUGCAGGUGGCACAUCAUGGCUCCAAAACAGCGUACAAAUACCUCAAGGAAAAAAUCUCUGUGUUUUUGUUUUGGUCGGGAAACGUGCUCAUUGACAUGGCAAAUAAGCUAAAACACGGAGCGGAGUUGGGUUCGCUGGAAUAUUUACAGGCGUCAGUUUGUUUUCAAAAAUCGUAAGUGACUUUGUUAAGUAGCUUUGUGAGUAAACGUGACCGUUUAGGCAACAUAUUCUGCUGUAUGCAUGCAAUAUAUAACAGAAUGUCAACAAAACAAUCAUGGACCUCGAUGUCGAGUGGUGAAUGAUAUUGCCUCCACUCUGCAAAACACUGCCAAUGAUUUGUCUGCUGAAUAUAAUUCUGAUGCAUCAGGUUCACCUGCUCCUGGAUGCUCAGUUUCACCAUCCAGCUCUUCAAGUGGAAGACGUGACAGUAGCUGUGAAACUUCGUUUUAUGACCAUGACUGGCAUUAUAGUUUUGAUGUUCCAUGGCAAAAAAUGCCAGCAAGUUUUAUGGGAAAUUUGCAUAAUGGCGAAAGGCCAAGUUGCUCUGAGAGAAGACAGUUGGUCCGCAUUGUUGCUUCUGAGAUCCUGGAAGUCAGCAAAUGUCCAGAAAAAAAACAUGUAUCAGAAAUAGCCCGACAAAUGGUGAUUGCAUACCCAAAGUCUUUCAGAGAUGAGAUUAAUUCCCAGGUUGUAGGAAGUGGAUAUGAUUCUCUCCUCAAACAACUGGUGUGUAGAAUUGACAAUUUGAAAAGAGCAAAAGCUAUUAGUAUACCACUUUGUGGUACUCUAGAAGUAUCAACAAAGAAAUGAAAAUUGUUAUAUGGUUGUAUAAAUUCUGAUCCACAACUGCUAGUUGGAGAAACAUCCGAAUUACAGCAGGAAAAGAAAGAGAAGUUGGUAGUAAUGUUUCAAAAUAAUGAAAGUGAUGUAAAGACAAUCUAUGACUUAAUGACUUCUACAUACACCCCUCAAAGAAACAGCAUCCAAUCUGGAAAGGAAACCAAAGAUUUACUUGAUGAGUGGCCAUAUCUUUUUCAGCCAGCAGGAAUGAAAGCACACUUUAAAGAGCUCACUGGCAUUGACAUAAACAACAGCUUUGAAGAAUCUGCUUCCAGAGAGAACCCACUGACAGCCAGUGUGUACAUGGUGGCAGUAGACCAGAUGAUUGUAAAUGACCAUCUCUUGAGUUUUACAGAAGCCCUGUAUCUGAUGUUCUCUCUUUACUAUAUAUUGAACAUCAGUUACCCUGUAGAACUGGGAGCCACACUAGAAUUCUUGCAAAGGUGCAUCUUUAGGAUAAAUCCUCAUAAAGGUACCAAGGUGGAAAAGAGAGAGAAAAAGAGAGCGUACUCUGUCAACCCCAGAGUAUUGAGUCUGACAUCAAAAAUUGCUGCAUUUGAUUGGGGAGAGUAACAGAUGUGGUCUUUCAGAAGAUUGACAUUUCGCUGAAGAACAGGACAGACCGACUUUUUGUACUUCAGUGCAGCGCUUUGUUGCUUAAAUCAUUUUUAUUACCUUGUGACGUGAUUAGGAUUUAGUUUAAAUUUAUUUCUUUAUUUGAUUGGGACAGUGCAUGUUAAUGAACAAACAUGGAAUACAUGCAUGUAAACAUGCUGGAUUGUAGCCAAAGGCUAAUUUCCAUCCGUAGUCCCACGGGCUAAAAUCACACUGGUCACAAAACAUUACAUAAUAAAAUUUACAUCUACAGUUAGUACAUCUUUUAUCAAUAAAUUAGCUAAAGCCCUGUAUACAAUAUUCACAUAAUACUUGAAAAUUCAUUCAACUUCAAAAUUAUCAGAAUCCAGGCCCAGUGUUUUUGUUUCUUUUAAACUGAACACAUUUGUGUUCUGAAACAUGCUUUAUCCAUGUUCUCCAUGUGACAUGUUCAGGAUUAUCAG